GAGUCGCGAUUAGAUCCGGAUUUAACUCGCCCCGAGUUGCUCCCUGCGCUGACUGGCUGCUGCUCCCAGCAUACAGCCACGUGAAUUAGAAUCUCCCUCUUCCGUACAAAAUGUCACUUAGGAUUUGUAUUAGAGAGGUGGGAAAGAAAUACAUUUUUCAAAGAUAAUUAACAAAUUCAUACCUGGAUCCAUUCCUUAUAAUCAAGAGGCAAAAAGUCCAGAAGGGAUUUCCAGUCAUUGACAAAUGUUGAUCAAAAUUGAUCAUGAUUUAAGAAAAGUUGCGGGACUUAAUAUGUCUGGUUGCUGGGCAACUUUAUGGUGGUUUUCAUUGUUAAGAUUGGUAUAUCAUUCUGGAUGUUACCUCAUUGAUCCAAUUGCUGCAAGUAGUUUUAGCCACAUCCAUAAUUACGUCAAUGCAUCAAAUUUGGAUCAAGAUUAUUGUGAAAAGAAACUGAAAUUAACUACUUUAGAUGAAUGGAAACUUUCUACAGAAAUGUUCACAGCUACACUUCCUGUUGAUCAUAUUCAAGAGAAUUAUGUUCGUGAGGUUCAAGAUUGUAUUUUUUCUGUUGGAUAUCCUACACCAUUUAAUUCCAGAGUUCUACUUGUAGCUGUUUCAGAGGAAGUCCUGGAAGAAAUUCUGGAUUUAGACAUGUCUGCCUCAGGCUCAGAUGAUUUUCUACAGCUUGUCAGUGGUGCAAAAAUAAUCUUGGGAUCUCAACCCCUAACCCAUAGAUAUGGUGGCCAUCAGUUUGGUAGCUGGGCAGGACAGCUGGGUGAUGGAAGAGCCCACUUGAUCGGCAUUUAUACAAACAGAUUUGGAUCCAGAUGGGAACUGCAGCUCAAAGGUUCAGGAAGGACACCAUACUCCAGGAGAGGAGAUGGCAGAGCUGUGCUUCGGUCUUCUAUACGAGAAUUUUUGGGAAGUGAAGCCAUGCAUUACCUUGGAAUACCUACAAGCAGGGCAGCUAGCUUAGUUGUAAGUGAUGACAACGUUUGGAGAGAUCAGUUCUACAAUGGGAAUAUUAAGAAAGAAAGAGGUGCAAUUGUGUUACGUGUUGCAAAAUCAUGGUUUCGAAUAGGAUCAUUGGAAAUACUAGCUCAUUCUGGAGAACUGGAUUUAUUAAGGAUGCUGCUAGAUAUGGUCAUAAAAGAGCACUUUCCAAAAAUAAACGUAAAUGAUUCAAAUAAAUACCUGGCAUUUUUCUCUCAAGUAGUAUCUGAGACGGCACAUUUAAUUGGCUUGUGGAUGUCAGUCGGCUUUGCUCAUGGAGUAUGCAAUACUGAUAAUUUCAGUUUAUUAUCCAUAACCAUAGAUUAUGGUCCAUUUGGCUUCAUGGAUUCAUACAACCCAGACUUUGUUCCAAACACAUCUGAUGAUGAAGGACGGUAUAAAAUAGGAAAUCAGGCAAAUGUUGGAAUGUUUAAUCUGAACAAACUGCUUAAGGCUUUAAACCCUUUAUUUAGUCCAAGACAAAAGCAACUGGCUUCUCAGAUACUUGAAGGAUAUCCUCAACAAUAUUAUAAAGGCUUUAUAGAACUAUUCAAGACAAAAUUAGGUCUGCUAGGAGAGAAUGAGGAUGAUGAAUAUUUGAUUGCUUUUCUUCUAAAACUCAUGGAAAAUACAAGAGCAGAUUUCACAAUGACUUUUCGGCAACUCAGUGAGAUUUCAGAAGACAAACUCAAAAAUUUCAACAUACCUAAGGAAUUCUGGGCUUUGCAAGAUGUAGCUAAACACAACAACUUUUCAACCUGGAUUGCUAUGUACUUCUUGAGAUUAAAAAGGAAUAUGGGUGAUUCAGACUCUGAAAGGAGGAGAAGAAUGAGCAAGGCACAGCUGUUCCAGCUCAGCAACAGCUGCACUGCAGAUGCAGAAGGGGUGACUGACCAUCAGCCUCUCCAAUGAAGAAGCAGAGUGCAAGAAGAAUGUGCCCAAAGGGGCACGAUUUGCACGCAUGGUUGCAGAAACUGGUUGCCAGAGGAUACCAGUCAUCUUGAGAUCUGCAUGCUUGCCAGUGGACUAUAGAUUUGAAAAGGUUGGAAAUGUUUCUAGCGGCAAAGAAAGCCUCCUGUGUGGCAGAGCUCAGAAUUGAAGUACAGAAGCAGCAAGAUUUCAAAUAAAAAUGGCCACAAUUCUGUCAAUGGAAGCAGUGGUGGGUUGCCCCCAGUUUGGACCGGUUUGCAAGAACCGCUGGAGGCUCCGCCCACCGCCCCGGAUGUCAUCAGUGAUCUGUGCAUGUGCGAUCCUGUUGCGAACUGAUAGUAAAGGUGUUAACCCAAGAUAUGUGCUUAGAAAUUGGAUGGCAGAAUCAGCUGUCCAGAAGGCGGAAAUAAAUGAUUUUUCAGAGGUCCGCUUCUUGCAACAAGUUUUGCAACGUCCAUUUCUGGUACAGACCCUGGCUGAGAG